rnacentral:rRNA from 1 species
CCUACGGGUGGCAGCAGUGAGGAAUAUUGGUCAAUGGCCGUGAGGCUGAACCAGCCAAGUAGCGUGAAGGAAGAAGGAUCUAUGGUUUGUAAACUUCUUUUAUAGGGGAAUAAAGGUAUCCACGUGUGGAUAUUUGCAUGUACCCUAUGAAUAAGCAUCGGCUAACUCCGUGCCAGCAGCCGCGGUAAUACGGAGGAUCCGAGCGUUAUCCGGAUUUAUUGGGUUUAAAGGGUGCGUAGGUUGUUUGUUAAGUCAGCGGUGAAAGUUUGUGGCUCAACCAUAAAAUUGCCGUUGAAACUGGCAGACUUGAGUGUGUUUGAGGUAGGCGGAAUGCGUGGUGUAGCGGUGAAAUGCAUAGAUAGCACGCAGAACUCCGAUUGCGAAGGCAGCUUACUAAGCCAUAACUGACACUGAAGCACGAAAGUGUGGGUAUCAAACAGGAUUAGAUACCCCAGUAGUC